AACGGACGCUGGCGGCAUGCCUAACACAUGCAAGUCGAACGAGACCUUCGGGUCUAGUGGCGCACGGGUGCGUAACGCGUGGGAACCUGCCCUUAGGUUCGGAAUAACUCCCCGAAAGGGGUGCUAAUACCGGAUAAUGUCUUCGGACCAAAGAUUUAUCGCCUUUGGAUGGGCCCGCGUUGGAUUAGCUAGUUGGUAGGGUAAAAGCCUACCAAGGCGACGAUCCAUAGCUGGUCUGAGAGCAUGAUCAGCCACACUGGGACUGAGACACGGCCCAGACUCCUACGGGAGGCAGCAGUGGGGAAUAUUGGACAAUGGGCGAAAGCCUGAUCCAGCAAUGCCGCGUGAGUGAUGAAGGCCUUAGGGUUGUAAAGCUCUUUUACCCGGGAUGAUAAUGACAGUACCGGGAGAAUAAGCUCCGGCUAACUCCGUG
rnacentral:rRNA from 1 species